rnacentral:rRNA from 1 species
CUACGGGUCGCUGCAGUGAGGAAUAUUGCACAAUGGGGGGAACCCUGAUGCAGCAACGCCGCGUGGGGGAUGACGCAUUUCGGUGUGUAAACUCCUUUUAUAUGUCAAGAAAAUGACGGUAGCAUAUGAAUAAGCACCGGCUAACUCCGUGCCAGCAGCCGCGGUAAUACGGAGGGUGCAAGCGUUACUCGGAAUCACUGGGCGUAAAGGACGCGUAGGCGGGUUGGAAAGUCAGGUGUGAAAUCCUACAGCUUAACUGUAGAACUGCACUUGAAACUUCUAAUCUAGAGUAUGGGAGGGUGAGAUGGAAUUAGUGGUGUAGGGGUAAAAUCCGUAGAUAUCACUAGGAAUACCUAAAGCGAAGGCGAUCUCCUGGAACAUUACUGACGCUAAGGCGUGAAAGCGUGGGGAGCAAACAGGAUUAGAUACCCCGGUAGUC